UUGAACUACAGGGAAAUUGAUGUGAAAGUUGUGUGAGAGCAUCAUUGGAGCUAGCUUGGGACCCAUUCCAAGUAGAUUGCGCCUGAAGGAGUCACAGAGUUUAUAGUCAUUCUUGGCAGCAAGGCCAGAGGGAGUCAGAAGAGUAAACGAAACAAUGCAGCAGUUUCGCAUUGCUCUUCAAAGACAAUAUGGUGAAGAUGAUCCAACUGGCAAGGACCAAGAAACAGAAUGGAGGAUGAGAACAACAGCUAUGUAUGCUUUCAGUGGUCAAAUUUGGUGGACUUCUACAAAAUGAUUUUAUGGGGUUAGGAAAUGCAAGUUCUCCAUCCUGUACCUCACAAUUUCACUAUCACUGUUUCUAGAGUUAGCAUUGUCAGCCUAUAAUGAGGUUUGGUCAUAGAAAUGUAUCCAAGACUUCUAAUAUUUCAUCAAUUCCAUCAAAAUCUUCAAAGAGAUAUAAGUUAAAAAUGAAUUUAAUGUUUAACUGUAACAGCAACAACUGGAUGUUUGAAGUGAGAGGCUAACAACCAUCAUAUGGAGACUGCAUGCUCUGACUCUGAAAUUUAACCUUAAUAGAAGUUAAGUUGUGCAGUGUAUAGAGAGUUCUGGGUCCUUCUUUGACC